UUUACCCUGCUGUGUUCGUGAUGCAGCAUACCAGUUUUGGGCCAACACCCUUUACAAGCGUCGAACCUCCGCUUAGUGCCGCGAUAGACUUUGAGUCAAGGCGAAUCUGACGGGUACGACGAACCUGCGGAAGCAGGUUCAAAACUCAGCAGCACACGGCAUGGCGGGGUUGUC
rnacentral:other from 1 species